UCGAAACCUGCCCAGCAGAGCGACCCGUGAACACGUUCAACCUCGUGGGCGUUGGGGCGUUGCUUGGUGCCUAGUGUGUCGGCCCGUCCCUCUCCCAAGCCAGGGGAGCGCUCACUUGUGGGCUGUUUCCCCGGCAAAACAACGAACCCCGGCGCGUAAUGCGUCAAGGAAUGCAAACAUUAUGUGUGUACUCUCCCGUCGCCCGGUUAGCCGGGUGUUGGAGCUGUACCAUGUCUUAACAUUAAACGACUCUCGGCAACGGAUAUCUCGGCUCUCGCAUCGAUGAAGAACGUAGCGAAAUGCGAUACUUGGUGUGAAUUGCAGAAUCCCGUGAACCAUCGAGUUUUUGAACGCAAGUUGCGCCCGAAGCCUUUGGCUUAGGGCACGUCUGCCUGGGCGUCACGCAUCGCGUCUCCCCCAAAUCCACUCUGAGUGGAGGGGAAGGAGGAUGGUCUCCCGUGACUCACCGGUUGCGGCUGGCCUAGAAUUGGAGCCCUCAGCAACGGGAUGUUGUGGCGAUAGGUGGUGAACAAGGCCUCGGCCAAGCAAGCAACCAGCCGCGCAUCACGAUGCCAACGUGAGCUCGAAGGACCCUUUAAGUUGCUUAACGGCAACCUAAUUGUUGCGACCCCAGGUCAGGCGGGACUACCC
rnacentral:rRNA from 1 species